rnacentral:tRNA from 1 species
AGAGUUGUGGCUCAGUGGUAGAGUGCUCGCCUAGCAUGUGUGAGACCCUGGGUUUUAUUCUCAGCACCACAU